rnacentral:rRNA from 1 species
GUAGGUGGCAAGCGUUGUCCGGAAUUAUUGGGCGUAAAGCGCGCGCAGGCGGUUCUUUAAGUCUGAUGUGAAAGCCCACGGCUCAACCGUGGAGGGUCAUUGGAAACUGGAGAACUUGAGUACAGAAGAGGAAAGCGGAAUUCCACGUGUAGCGGUGAAAUGCGUAGAGAUGUGGAGGAACACCAGUGGCGAAGGCGGCUUUCUGGUCUGUAACUGACGCUGAGGCGCGAAAGCGUGGGGAGCAAACAGGAUUAGAUACCCUGGUAGUCCACGCCGUAAACGAUGAGUGCUAAGUGUUAAGGGGUUUCCGCCCCCCUUAGUGCUGCAGCUAACGCAUUAAGCACUCCGCCUGGGAGUACGGCCGCAAGGCUG